rnacentral:rRNA from 1 species
GUGGGGAAUUUUGGACAAUGGGGGAAACCCUGAUCCAGCCAUGCCGCGUGCGGGAUGAAGGCCUUCGGGUUGUAAACCGCUUUUGUCAGAGACGAAAAGGGACGCACGAAUAAUGCGUCCCGCUGACGGUAUCUGAAGAAUAAGCACCGGCUAACUACGUGCCAGCAGCCGCGGUAAUACGUAGGGUGCAAGCGUUAAUCGGAAUUACUGGGCGUAAAGGGUGCGCAGGCGGCUGUGCAAGACAGAUGUGAAAUCCCCGGGCUUAACCUGGGAACUGCAUUUGUGACUGCACGGCUAGAGUUUGUCAGAGGAGGGUGGAAUUCCGCGUGUAGCAGUGAAAUGCGUAGAUAUGCGGAAGAACACCAAUGGCGAAGGCAGCCCUCUGGGACAUGACUGACGCUCAUGCACGAAAGCGUGGGGAGCAAACAGGAUUAGAUACCCGAGUAGUCC